rnacentral:rRNA from 1 species
GGGUCAGUAGGUUGGUCGUGCCACCGGUACGUACUGGUCUCACUGAUUCCUCCUUCCUGAAGAACCGUAAUGCCAUUAAUUUGGUGUUGCGGGGAAACAGGACUGUUACUUUGAAAAAAUUAGAGUGUUUAAAGCAAGCUAACGCUUGAAUACAUUAGCAUGGAAUAAUGAAAUAGGACGAUCGAUCCGAUUUUGUUGGUUUCUAGGAUUGACGUAAUGAUUAAUAGGGAUCGAUGGG